ensembl:lncRNA
CAGAAUCCCUGUUAUCCUGUAACAGCCUGAGAACUGCCCAUUUCUUUCAUGAUUACCUCAUACUCUGACUUGCUCACUAGCUGGCCAAGCCAAGGUUGCUCCUGUGCUGUGAGGGCCUCAGAGAGGCCUGAAGCUCUGGUCUGAGGAAGGGCCUAUGGAGAGCUGCAGGGUGUAGCUGCAGAAGGCAGUGUGCUGGCCUUGCCUCUGUUGUUCUUCCCUUGGCUCUGUGGACCCCUGCUCCAUUCUUCCUCUACCCCUUGCCUCUGCCACACUAUCAGCAGCAGCUUUCCAGGCUGUCCCAUCUCCCUGCUGGAAACCUCAGGGUUAAGAAAAACUGCUUUUCUCUGUAUGCGUCACUAUGUUGCUCAAACCUAGUAUACCCUUGUAUCUAGGGGUCCCUGCUCCAACUCCCCUCCUGAGGUUAUCUGUGAGCUUGCCCCCUGUUUCUCUGCAGUACCCAAGCCUGUGCCAAGACCUGCACAUUCUCAGUUUGUCUCCAGGGUCUUCAUCCCACCAGGACCUGCUCGGUACACUUCCAAUCUAUCUCUUGGUUUUCUUAAAAGUGGAAGGGAAGCCUAGAAUCUCACAAUGUUACUGGAGAUAAAUUGUGAAUUUUUUCAAGUAAUGGGGCCCACACAUAGCCUCCAGCUCAACCUUCCUAGAGGCACUCACCAGCCACCCUGUCUGUCAAGUCACCCUGGGUUCUUUGCUUUUCCAGCAUCGGACCUUGCUUUCACAUGCUCACUGCAUCCUGAUUGCCAUUCUCCUCUGCAUUUCCAACCCCUCACAGAAGCCCUCCCCUGCUAGGCUACCUGGUUGGAGGGUCCUUUGGCAUGAAAAGAGGCCUAAGAACUAAGGAGUACAUCGCCAUCGGGUGUCAGCUCUGAAAACUGCAGUGAGCAGACACUGGUUCUAGAGCGGGAACUCCCUACCCAGUCUGCUCUUCCUUUCUCCCUAGCUUCUGUCUAGCUGUACCAGACACUGUCCUUGGCAUGUGGACUCAGACCUGAAGGUAUACUGCUCCUCUUCUCAAAAGUACAUCAGGGAACACUCUUAUUACAACCCUCAUUUCUCCUCCUCUAGGCCACAGACACACAGUAGAGUCUGCAUGAAUCCAUCCCCCAAGGAGGGGUACCUCACAGAGCACAGCCCUGGAGGUGAUAACAGGGUCCUGACCAGCAUAGACAUGUCUCACAGUGGCUCUGACUUGGCCUUGGACCAUCAAGCCUACUUGCACAUACCAUCUUACAAGGUGCCAAGUCACCUCCUCACCAACUGCUUCCAAGCCUCAACUCAGACUUUCCUGUCCUAACCAUGAAUAGUUCCAGCUUAUACCUCAUCAAUUGUAAACACCUUCCACUGACCUAUGACAGUACAUCCUUUGAGUCGCCUGUGUGUGUGUGCUGUUUCCUCCUGUUGGCAGCCUGACAACUGCCUUGAAUAGCCCCACCUUCUCUUAGAACCCUCCUGCUACAUCGUCCAUACUAUUGGGUUGCAAAGGCGGUGUCACUAAAUACUAUCUGAAUUAAAACUAAAAGGCAACUUGACCGUAAGAGUUAUGUCCUAUCAUGGAUUAACACUGUGUAUCCUAGGAAGGAAGUAUCCAGAUGGCUGGUUCCAAAGAAGUCAUAUAGUGUGCUUUCUGAAGUUCAGGGUGCUGUGGGUCAGCAGAGCUGUGAUGAGGGCAGAAGUUUUUCAUUCUCCCUACUUGAAGGGAACUAGGCUUCAAAUUUUGCCUCCAUUGCUCACUGGCUGAUGGGCAAGUCAUUUAAUCCCUCUGUGCUCAUCUCUGAGGUAAGAAUUCUGAUCCUUCCCACAGGAUAGGGAGUCACAACUGGUAGCUACAUGUUAACAACUGUUACCCAUUGGAGCAAUGCCUGGUAUAUGAAAAUCUAUGGUGGGCAUCUUCAUGGCCUUUGUAUUUUCUGGUGGAAGACCUCCUCCCAAGUCUGAGUGCCAGCUGGAUCUAUCUAUCUGUCUACCCUGUGGUCCAGUUCUUACUCCAUUUCCUACACAGCACACUUGCCUUUUUCCACUCUUCAUCUAGGAAUCUCUGACUUAGAGGUCUACCCUUGCCCAGGACAGGAGCUGCUAGCAAAAUUACCAACAUGUUGCUCCAAGUCCUCUGAUAACUCCAAAAUUGAGGUUUACUAGUGAGGAAACAGAAACCUGGCAUGUACCAUGGAGCACUCUCCUUAUUUCAGGAAGUGUUCUAUGUCCAGAAAGAGCUUUGUGACCCAGUCGUCCCUCCCUGGGAGCACAGCCAUCUGCUGGCUGCAUCUUGGUGCCUGUGUGUGCAUUACUCUGUAUCCUCAGCCUCAAGUCUAAGGCCCAGCACACAAUGGUGCUCAUAUUCUGUGAACCAACAUGCCCGCAUGUACAUGUAAGGCAGAAAUUGG